AAGACUAGGUUCAGUCGAUCUAGAAGUUGACCUUGAAAAUAGAGGAGAUAACAGCUCCGUGCUCAUGAUUUCUAUGCAAGAUAUUUAUGUACGAUUUGUCUUUACAAGUUUUUACUGCACAGUCUCCAUAUGGCGUCAUUUAUUGAGUCGGGAGACUAGGAUUUAUCUGCAUCUGCAUUAUCCGGUUGAAACUUGUUGGAAUAAAAUAAAAAUAAAGGCUUCAAUGGCUUAGGGUGACAAUUGUUGGAGAAGACUUGUUUUAUUGAAGAGUUGGUUCUCAUGGUGGGAGUCACAAGAAUGAUAUGGCAAAUGAAUUAACUUCUUUCGAAGGAAAAUACUACUAGGAUGACAAAAUUAUAAGAGAUUUUCUCUGUAUUUAUGUAGGAGAGAAGAACUGCUGUAUUGCAUUAAAAUAUGUGCAAUGUUAUUAGUAUAUGCACAUGCUUAGUUCAGUUAUAUUGCAGUAAGUUAUGUGCAAUGUAAUUAGUAUAUAAAUUGUAACAUUUCAGUUUCACACGUUCUCUCAGCUUAUCCCUCUACUUUUUACCGAUUGUCGUCUUCCUUGGUUGUAGUUCAUUAACUUCUAAAGCCAUGCUCAAAAUCUAAGAUCUGUAGGAGUGUGUGCCACAACCUUUCGGUUUUUGCUCCUUCAUUUAUAAGACUAAAUUUCCUCUUCAGAUGGUACAAUUCCCGGAUGCGAGUCUCUUAUCAUCAACUAUGUUGUCAAUAGCCCCUUUUAGCGCCGCUAGCACGGCGGCAUGUGGCAGUUGUUGGCCGCCCCCUCACGCAGCAUACCCUCUCAGCAUGGAGUAGCAGUUGUGGCAGCCGCAUUGACAGCUGCUUUCACAUCUUAGUUCGUGUGUUUUGCGGCGCUUUUGUUGCACGAUAGGUUUGUGAAGAAGAAAGGGGGAAGGAAAAUCCA